UUGUGUGUUAGUGGAAGCGUCUGGAAAGUCGCAGGGUACAGGGUGAUACUCCCGUACACAAAAGCACACAUGCUGUGAGCUCGAUGAGUAAGGCGGGACACGUGGUAUCCUGUCUGAAUAUGGGGGGACCAUCCUCCAAGGCUAAAUACUCCUGACUGACCGAUAGUGAACCAGUACCGUGAGGGAAAGGCGAAAAGAACCCCGGCGAGGGGAGUGAAACAGAACCUGAAACCGUGUACGUACAAGCAGUGGGAGCCUUCUUUAUGGGGGUGACUGCGUACCUUUUGUAUAAUGGGUCAGCGACUUAUAUUCUGUAGCAAGGUUAACCGUAUAGGGGAGCCGCAGGGAAACCGAGUCUUAACUGGGCGUUAAGUUGCAGGGUAUAGACCCGAAACCCGGUGAUCUAGCCAUGGGCAGGUUGAAGGUUGGGUAACACUAACUGGAGGACCGAACCGACUAAUGUUGAAAAAUUAGCGGAUGACCUGUGGCUGGGGGUGAAAGGCCAAUCAAACCGGGAGAUAGCUGGUUCUCCCCGAAAGCUAUUUAGGUAGCGCCUCGUGAACUCAUCUUCGGGGGUAGAGCACUGUUUCGGCUAGGGGGCCAUCCCGGCUUACCAACCCGAUGCAAACUGCGAAUACCGAAGAAUGUUAUCACGGGAGACACACGGCGGGUGCUAACGUCCGUCGUGAAGAGGGAAACAACCCAGACCGCCAGCUAAGGUCCCAAAGUCAUGGUUAAGUGGGAAACGAUGUGGGAAGGCACAGACAGCCAGGAUGUUGGCUUAGAAGCAGCCAUCAUUUAAAGAAAGCGUAAUAGCUCACUGGUCGAGUCGGCCUGCGCGGAAGAUGUAACGGGGCUAAACCAUGCACCGAAGCUGCGGCAGCGAC
rnacentral:rRNA from 1 species